GGGCAGCAGCUAGGAGUAUUGCGCAAUGGACGAAAGUCUGACGCAGCGACGCCGCGUGCGGGAUGAAGGCCUUCGGGUCGUAAACCGCUAAACUCCGAGAUCAAAUCGGAGGAUAAGUGCCUGCUAACUACGUGCCAGCAGCCGCGGUAAUACGUAGGGCACAAGCGUUAUCCGGAAUUACUGGGUGUAAAGGGUCCGCAGGCGGUCUAUUAAGUCUCCUGUUAAAGCCCCCGACUUAAUCGGGGAAAGGCGGGAGAUACUGAUAGACUAGAGUGAGUUCGGGGCUACUGGAACUUGUCAUGUAGGGGUGAAAUCCGUGGAUAUGACAAGGAACACCGAGGGCGAAGGCGGGUAGCUAGGAUUUUACUGACGCUCAGGGACGAAAGCUAGGGGAGCAAACUGGAUUAGAUACCCGAGUAGUC
rnacentral:rRNA from 1 species